rnacentral:rRNA from 1 species
GUAGGUGGCAAGCGUUGUCCGGAAUUAUUGGGCGUAAAGCGCGCGCAGGUGGGUUCUUUAAGUCUGAUGUGAAAGCCCCCGGGCUCAACCGGGGAGGGUCAUUGGAAACUGGGGAACUUGAGUGCAGGAGAGGAAAGUGGAAUUCCACGUGUAGCGGUGAAAUGCGUAGAUAUGUGGAGGAACACCAGUGGCGAAGGCGACUUUCUGGCCUGUAACUGACACUGAGGCGCGAAAGCGUGGGGAGCAAACAGGAUUAGAUACCCUGGUAGUCCACGCCGUAAACGAUGAGUGCUAAGUGUUGGGGGGUUUCCGCCCCUCAGUGCUGCAGCUAACGCAUUAAGCACUCCGCCUGGGGAGUACGGUCGCAAGAUUG